CAAGAGCCUGCCGAACCUGGUGCUGGCUGUGGCAAGCGUAGACAUACCGGCGUUCAGAUGUCUAACUGCUGACCGUACAUCCAUUGACGAGGAUUCCGGGAAAGUAACAUACACCUGGCACGUGAAAUCCCCGAACAGUUCAGAACGAACGGACGUCCCGGUCAACUAUGUUCUUAUUGGAGAUCGGCCCGACACGUGUGUUGCAUACAUAAAUAAUGACACCACACACUCGUAUGCUACCCAAGUUUUGUACAGCGAUUAUAAAAACUGCAUUGUUGACAAAAUUGUCAUGGAAGAAAAGGA